AACCCAAGUAAUACCAACAAGAACCAGCCCACUGGGGCAUAGUGCUCGUUUCCCGAGUAAAAGUUUGAUUGCCUUGUUUCACCUUAGCCCACUCCUGGUUUCGUCACAAUGGUGGGUUAGUCGAACCAUCAGGUUGAUAGUUAGCCAAAGCUGGUAGGGUAACGGGGAGCUCUUUAACUAAAUGGGGUUGGUUGUUUUCGUCAAACAAAAUCGGAAAAGGUUCACCCCAGUAACGUUGACGGCUAAAAAUCCAGUCACGGAGUUUGUACACCGUUGUUUUUUUAGCUUUUUGACGCUCGACUAACAUUUGCGUAAUUUGGGUGUUAGCAGUUUGGGAGUUGAGCCCGCUAAACUGC
rnacentral:sRNA from 1 species